UGGGUGGAAGAGGAAUAAAAGACAUGUAACUUACUGAAGAUUCUUUUCUUUUCUUUUCUUUUCUUUUUUUUUUUAGAUUGACAUGGUCUCAAGCCAAGGCAUAAAGCAGGGAGGGGCUUCAGGUGAAGACUGCCGGUUUCAGAAAUAUCUAAGAGUUGCAUUACUUGGCACAAUUGGUCAACUGUCAGGAGACGGUCAGAAGACGCGGUGCCAGAGGAGAUGGGAGUCGGAAGAGGCGUGUUUGCUCUGGCAGGGGAGACUGCUCCUGCCUUCUGCAUACAACCAGGCCGGGCCAUCUGAACCCCGGGAUGUUCGGGUGGGACUGGAAGAGGGCGUGGGCAGAGGUCCAGCGGGGAGCUGCUACUGGCCAGCUUCCUGGCAUCAACCCUGCUAAGCGCUCACACACCGCCCUUCCUCGUUAGAAGGGACCCUAGGGCAGGCCCGGCCACCUGCUGCGCAGCCAGCAGCAGUCUACAGCGGAGCACGCCCACGGGGCGAAAGGGCGCCCUCUGCAGGUGGUACCGCGCCAGGGGAAGACUCCAGCAACAGUUUUUAAAAUCCUGCGAGUCCCACACCUGCCAACCCGCAGGCCUUUAGAAAAUAUUCCGAGAGUGAAUAAAUUAGCCAAUUCC
rnacentral:lncRNA from 12 species